rnacentral:rRNA from 1 species
UACGUAGGUGGCAAGCGUUGUCCGGAUUUACUGGGCGUAAAGAGCGCGCAGGCGGUCGUUCAAGUCGCGUGUGAAAGCCCCCGGCUCAACUGGGGAGGGUCACGCGAUACUGAUCGACUGGAAGGCAGGAGAGGGUAGUGGAAUUCCCGGUGUAGUGGUGAAAUGCGUAGAUAUCGGGAGGAACACCAGUGGCGAAGGCGGCUUUCUGGACGAUAACUGACGCUGAGACGCGAAAGCGUGGGGAGCAAACAGG